ensembl:lncRNA
CUCCAGACCCCGUGGUCCCUCUUUCUCUCUCCUCCGCUAACAGACAAGUUCAGCGAGGGGAGCCCUGUUGCCAGGCAACAGCCCAGAGUGUAUGAUUAAAACUUUGAUUUCCAAUCUAUCACCUGAGAGACUGAUGCUGCGCCUUCCCUGUGAUGCUCUGCAGAGCAGCUGGGGUGGAGCGCGACGCUGCACGCUCGCCAAAUGAAUCUGCAGUGUGAAAUGAAACAUUUGGUUCACACGGAGUCGCGCCACCUCAUCUUCAACCAGCUUGACACUUUGAGGAUGUCAUUUUGUGCUGAGCGCCGAAGUUGAAGCCGAGUCACCCAGUUCAUUUGGGGAUUUGGGGAGGAUGCUUUUUUUUUUUUUAACCUACUGCUGCACAUUUGUUCCUUCGCACAGUUUAGUCUACAGUAACUACACUGAAACACUAGUUGCUGUAGAGUAUGAGGCAGAUAAAAUGAUCCAAAGCCCCAUUUGUGUUUGAAUGACAAAGGCCACACUUACAGUCACAUUUCACCCAAGUUUCAUCAUUUGAUGGAUUCUAAUCUGUCAGAUCGUGUUCUGGGCGACAAAAGAGGAAUGGAGGAGGUGUGUGUGUGUGUGUGUGUGUGUGUGUGUGUGUGUGUGUGUGUGUGUGUGUGUGUGUGUGUGUUCCCAGGUGAUGAGCGGUGUCAAGACACCUUAACAGUUUGGCCCCAGGCAGUACAGUGAUACAUGAAUGACAUAUUUAUUCCAGGCAAGGGAUGUCUGUAUAAAAAGUAUAUAUGUGUGUGUGUGUGUGUGUGUGUGUGUGUGUGUGUGUGUGUGUGUGUGCGUGUGCGUGCAGAGCUCCAUCUAAAUGCGGCCCUCCGGCAUCCAUGCCAUCCCAAUAGGUAGAAAAUCUAAUCUACAGGCCAAAGAUGAUAAGAUGGCGGCACAGAGCGGCAGGGAGAGAUGAAAACGGAGUCUGAUUCCACCAGGCUGCACGAUUAUGAUGCCAGAAAACAGGCUAAGCGGAUGAACCUGCUCUCACACAGGACGUCUGAUCUCUCUGUGAACCACUUGGACAGUGAUGCAGGCAACCCGAGGGAAAGACUGCAGCUGCGAGAUGGAGAAGCUGGAGAUGCUCCAGGAUCAGCAGAGAGGAAGCGUCAUAGCAUCACUUCAAUCCUGAACGAUUCUAUUCACAGUCGAUAUGAACAGGAGGAGUGAUUACACAAACAAGAACCUGCGUCAUAGCUCACAUACGUGUUUAACUGUAGUUAUGGAACAGACUUAUUCUGUAAGUGGCCACAUGCACUGUGUCACAAACGGUAACAGCUAAUAAGUUAUACCCAAGAGCAGAGAUGUCAAGUUGCUUGUCUAAGAAUUAGUAAGUACAGAAUGAAAAAUUACAGCAAGGCUGGAAAUACAAAAAUACUAAAUUUGGGAAAACUACAGCAGGAAGUAACAAUUGAAUUACAAAUGAUCCAAAGUCUGAACUAACAAAGUCAGUUCAAAAGCAAGAGAAGAGAAAAAAUUAAUAAGUUGGAAAACAGUAGAAAAAAAACAACGACCACAAAAAAAAACACUUGCAACUAGCAACAAGAUGCAAAUCAAUGAAAUGAGACACACCUAAAGAAAAAAGAACCACAAACAUCAACGCACAAUAAAGCCACAGCGCCGCCAACA